rnacentral:rRNA from 1 species
AUGAUGAUGAUGUGCCUGCCUCUUCGGCGAGGAGUUGGAUUCCACAUUGGGGAUGGCGACCCUAGAAUGGCUGCAAUUCCUUUUCGGCCCGUUUGGAAAGAUGAUGGCGCAGUGGGUGAAUUUGGAUGGGUUUUGGUUGGCCCAUGGGUGGCCGAUGCCGACUUGGAUAUUUUAGAUGGUAAAUUGGACUGCCACAUUGUUUAUGUCCGCGCAGAAACAGAGAUGCAUAUAUCUGCAGUGAUUCUUGAGAGGACAUGGACGGCAUGUUUGGCGAUUUCCUUGGAGGUUUGGAUGGAUAUGGAAAAUGAUCCAAGAUCAAGAGAGCGAUAG